ACCAUAGAAUUAUGGUUUGGUUUGGCCUGAAACCGUGAAACGUAUUCUUCUUGUAAAUACAGAAGGAAGAGCUGGAUAAAAUCCAAAACAAGAAGCUAAGCUAAAGGGUGUGGGGGGGUUUAUCCAAGGUUUCCAUUUGUCACACUCCACCUCUCUGCUCUACUGCUCCUCGCUUAACUACCCUCGCACAGUCCUAUUUCCUUUACUCCCCACUCUUUCUAUACCAUGCACCGACUCUUCGUCGGUCUACUUCUCCGGCCAUGAGCUCCCAACCCAGAUGCCGCCUCUCCAGUUGUCACCGCCACCCCACCAGACCGGUCACCGGCUUCUGCGCCUCAUGCCUCCGCGAGCGUCUCGCUUCCAUCGACCCUGCCACCCGCCAUGAGAUCCCCACCACCGCAGCCGCCGCGGUGCUCCGCCGUAGCAAAUCUUUCUCCGCUGCGGGGUCCUCUGCUGCGGCAUCCGAGCCGCCGCGUCGUAGGUCUUGCGACGUUCGGGCCCGGAGCACGCUGUGGGAUCUAUUCAACGUCGAUGACGAGCGGAAGGGCCUGAAUAGGAGGUUCGAGGUGGAAUUGGGGGGACUGGGGUUUGAACUACGGGAGGAGGACGAGAAUGAAAAUGAGAAUGAGAGCGAGAAUGAUGAUGUAGAAGAAAUUAGGGCUUCUGAGGACGUUAUUCCGGAUAUAAGCAAUGAACCAGAGAAUGGGAUCGAGGAUGAAGGGAUAGAGUUCAAGACGAUGAAAGAAUUCAUAGAUCUCGAAUGGCGGAGCAAGAAGAGUGGAGGAAAGGAUUUCAAGGACAUCGCUGCGAGCUUUUGUGAGGCGGCUUCAGUAUUCAGCAAGAAAUUGAGGAAAUGGCGGCAAAAGCAGAAGAGAAAGAAGCACAAUACUGGUAAUGGUGGUGGUAUCGUGGAGGCUGAGGAGCAGAGUGGGAGGCGGUGGAGGGAGACCCAAUCGGAGAUUGGGGAGUACGGAUUUGGGAGGAGAUCUUGCGAUACGGACCCAAGGUUAUCGGUGGAUGUGGCGAGGUAUUCGUUCGACGAGCCGAGGGCUUCCUGGGACGGGUAUUUUAUAGGGAAGACGUAUCCGAGGCUUACUCGAAUGGUAUCCGUGGAGGAGAGGGUGAAUUUGGGGAAUGAAGAGGAGGAGGAGAGGAGUCCCGGUGGUUCAGCUCAGACGAAGGAUUACUAUUCAGAGACUCCGUUUUCUCAGAGGCGGAGAAGGAGCUUCGAUCGCUCCAAUUCACAGAUGAGAGGGGGAGUAACCGAGUUUGAUGAGUUGAAAUUGACAUCCAAUGCAAAUGCAAAAGUGUCUCCGGAGAGCACGGAGUUAUUCUACGGGGCCAAGUUGCUGGUAGCAGAGCAAGACGACUCGAGGGAUCGAAACUCAAAAUGCGUGAAAGACGGUAGCUUGGAGAAUGUUGAAUCUGUUUCGAAAGAUCCUGCUACUUCUGUGGCAGGUGGGAUUAAUCAAAAGGGUUUGAAGAAGGUUAAGAAGUGGCACAAAAUGCGGAAUAUUUUUGGAUUGAAACAGAGGCAAAGCAAAAGUAAAUGUGGGGAUGAAGAAGGACAGUAUGUUGGAGGUAAUGUGGUUGAUCGACAACUUGGAGAGUCUUGGCAGAAGCUGAGGAGGGUGGCCAAUGGAGAAGCAGAUGGGUCAGUGAGUCAGAAGCUUAUUCGCAGCUAUAGUGUUAGCUGUAGGAACUCCUGCAAAGUGGCUGGAUUGUUCAGCAAUUCCGGUGGUGCUGAAACCAAAAUCAGUGGUCUGAAGAGAAGAGAGGAGGUAAUGCUGCAGCACAGUAGGAGUGCAAGAUAUUCUCCAAACAACCUUGAUAACGGCCUGUUGAGGUUCUAUUUGACGCCAUUAAGGAGCUACAGGAGAAGUAAAUCUGGAAAGAUGGGAAAGUGAAAUGCGUCCAAGUAAUUGAGCCGGUGACACUUUGAUUGAAGGAAUUGAAAAUCGUUGUGGAGCAGGAUCAGGUAGAUGCUUUCACUGAUCAAUCAAGAUGAAAUCAAGCUGUCAAUCCAUUAAAGACACAAGAUGCUACCCCUGGAUAACGUGAAACCAGUAGAAGUGACAGCAGAACACAAUAACUGAACUCAACGAUGGACUGCAAAAAAAAUCAGCCAGCUACAUCACUAUUGUCCCAUCACGUCUUGAUCAUUCACACAUUUACGACUUAGUUAAUCUCGAAUGUUACACCUCCGCCAUUCUUUGGAGUCGAGGGCCUCUAUAUUGUCAUCAUCACUAUCAGCUACAUUACAACCUAAUCUAGCUGCAUCCCUAUUAGAGCACCUACACCUACCUUAGACAAUAACACCUCACAAGCACCAGCUGUAUGCUCUCAACCGAAUGCCACGUCCAUUGCACCUGCUGCACAGCAUCUCAUAACAGACUCUGCUCCAUAAGAAUAUUGGGAAUUUGCUCCAUCAAGAAUAUUAUAGAAUCUUCUAGAAUUAUCCUUGAUGUAACCGCUGCACUUGUUCUA